GGAUCAUUAUCGAGUUACCGCUCCUUAUAACCCUUUGUGAACAUACCUCAAACGUUGCCUCGGCGGGCAGCCGGAGCCCAGCUCCGGCGCCCGGAGCCGCCUUCUCGGCGCGCCCCACCCGCCGGCGGACCACUAAACUCUAUUGCAACGACGUCUCUUCUGAGUGGUACAAGCAAAUAAUCAAAACUUUUAACAACGGAUCUCUUGGUUCUGGCAUCGAUGAAGAACGCAGCGAAAUGCGAUAAGUAAUGUGAAUUGCAGAAUUCAGUGAAUCAUCGAAUCUUUGAACGCACAUUGCGCCCGCCAGCAUUCUGGCGGGCAUGCCUGUUCGAGCGUCAUUUCAACCCUCAAGCACCGCUUGGCGUUGGGGCCCUACGGCUUCCGUAGGCCCCGAAAUACAGUGGCGGACCCUCCCGGAGCCUCCUUUGCGUAGUAACAUACCACCUCGCACUGGGAUCCGGAGGGACUCCUGCCGUAAAACCCCCCAAUUUAUCAAGGUUGACCUCGGAUCAGGUAGGAAUACCCGCUGAACUUAAGCAUAUCAAUAAGCGGAGGAAAAGAAACCAACAGGGAUUGCCUCAGUAACGGCGAGUGAAGCGGCAACAGCUCAAAUUUGAAAUCUGGCCCCCCGGGUCCGAGUUGUAAUUUGCAGAGGAUGCUUUUGGCGCGGUGCCUUCCGAGUUCCCUGGAACGGGACGCCAUAGAGGGUGAGAGCCCCGUACGGUUGGACACCAAGCCUAUGUAAAGCUCCUUCGACGAGUCGAGUAGUUUGGGAAUGCUGCUCAAAAUGGGAGGUAUAUUUCUUCUAAAGCUAAAUACCGGCCAGAGACCGAUAGCGCACAAGUAGAGUGAUCGAAAGAUGAAAAGCACUUUGAAAAGAGGGUUAAACAGCACGUGAAAUUGUUAAAAGGGAAGCGCUUGUGACCAGACUUGCGUCCGGUGAAUCACCCAGCUCUCGCGGCUGGGGCACUUUGCCGGCUCAGGCCAGCAUCAGCUUGCCGUCGGGGACAAAAGCUUCGGGAACGUAGCUCUCUUCGGGGAGUGUUAUAGCCCGUUGCACAAUACCCUUCGGCGGGCUGAGGUACGCG
rnacentral:rRNA from 1 species